ACGUAGGGCGCGAGCGUUGUCCGGAAUUAUUGGGCGUAAAGAGCUCGUAGGCGGCCUGUUGCGUCCGCUGUGAAAGCCCGGGGCUUAACCCCGGGUCGGCAGUGGAUACGGGCAGGCUAGAGGUAGGUAGGGGAGAAUGGAAUUCCCGGUGUAGCGGUGAAAUGCGCAGAUAUCGGGAGGAACACCGGUGGCGAAGGCGGUUCUCUGGGCCUUACCUGACGCUGAGGAGCGAAAGCGUGGGGAGCGAACAGG
rnacentral:rRNA from 1 species